GAUGAACGCUGGCGGCGUGCCUAAUACAUGCAAGUCGAGCGAACAGACGAGGAGCUUGCUCCUCUGACGUUAGCGGCGGACGGGUGAGUAACACGUGGAUAACCUACCUAUAAGACUGGGAUAACUUCGGGAAACCGGAGCUAAUACCGGAUAAUAUAUUGAACCGCAUGGUUCAAUAGUGAAAGACGGUUUUGCUGUCACUUAUAGAUGGAUCCGCGCCGCAUUAGCUAGUUGGUAAGGUAACGGCUUACCAAGGCAACGAUGCGUAGCCGACCUGAGAGGGUGAUCGGCCACACUGGAACUGAGACACGGUCCAGACACCUACGGGAGGCAGCAGUAGGGAAUCUUCCGCAAUGGGCGAAAGCCUGACGGAGCAACGCCGCGUGAAUGAUGAAGGUCUUCGGAUCGUAAAACUCUGUUAUUAGGGAAGAACAAAUGUGUAAGUAACUAUGCACGUCUUGACGGUACCUACUCAGAAAGCCACGGCUAACUACGUG
rnacentral:rRNA from 1 species